rnacentral:rRNA from 1 species
CACGUAGGGUGCGAGCGUUUGUCCGGAAUUAUUGGGCGUAAAGAGCUCGUAGGCGGUCUGUCGCGUCGGCUGUGAAAACCCGGAGCUCAACUCCGGGCCUGCAGUCGAUACGGGCAAACUGGAGUGUUGCAGGGGAGACUGGAAUUCCUGGUGUAGCGGUGAAAUGCGCAGAUAUCAGGAGGAACACCGAUGGCGAAGGCAGAUCUCUGGGCCUUACCUGACGCUGAGGAGCGAAAGCUGGGGGGAGCGAACGGGA